rnacentral:rRNA from 2 species
UGUAAACGAUGGAUACUAGGUGUGGGGGGACUGACCCCUUCCGUGCCGCAGUUAACACAAUAAGUAUCCCACCUGGGGAGUACGAUCGCAAGGUUGAAACUCAAAGGAAUUGACGGGGGCCCGCACAAGCGGUGGAGUAUGUGGUUUAAUUCGAAGCAACGCGAAGAACCUUACCAGGGCUUGACAUCCCACGGCUGGAAUUAGAGAUAGUUCUUUCCCUUCGGGGACUGUGGUGACAGGUGGUGCAUGGUUGUCGUCAGCUCGUGUCGUGAGAUGUUGGGUUAAGUCCCGCAACGAGCGCAACCCCUAUUGUUAGUUGCUACGCAAGAGCACUCUAGCGAGACUGCCGUUGACAAAACGGAGGAAGGUGGGGACGACGUCAAAUCAUCAUGCCCCUUAUGUCCUGGGCUAC